rnacentral:rRNA from 1 species
AGAGUUUGAUUAUGGCUCAGGAUGAACGCUGGCGGCGUGCCUAACACAUGCAAGUCGAGCGAGAAAUCUUGGAAUGAGACUUCGGUUAAGUGAAGAGAUGGAAAGCGGCGGACGGGUGAGUAACGCGUAGGCAACCUGCCUUAUGCAGAGGGAUAGCCAUUGGAAACGAUGAUUAAAACCUCAUAAAGCCAUUUUAUCACAUGGUGAGAUGGUCAAAGAUUUAUCGGCAUAAGAUGGGCCUGCGUCUGAUUAGCUAGUUGGUGGGGUAACGGCCUACCAAGGCGACGAUCAGUAGCCGACCUGAGAGGGUGAUCGGCCACAUUGGAACUGAGACACGGUCCAA